rnacentral:rRNA from 1 species
CCUAGUAAGUACAAGUCAUCAGCUUGUGCUGAUUACGUCCCUGCCCUUUGUACACACCGCCCGUCGCUACUACCGAUUGAAUGGCUUAGUGAGGCCUUCGGAUUGAGAUUUGGGGACUGGCAACAGACUCCGUAUUUUGAGAAGUUGGUCAAACUUGGUCAUUUAGAGGAAGUAAAAGUCGUAACAAGGUUUCCGUAGGUGAACCUGCGGAAGGAUCAUUACCGAUUUUAGCGAGCCUGACCUUUUGGUUACGGUUUCGCGAAAACUGUAUUUAAAAUCCCACUCUUAUAAAAUGAAUCAUUUUUGUAUGUAAAAUAAAUAAAGAUCACCUUCAACAACGGAUCUCUUGGCUCUCGCAUCGAUGAAGAACGUAGCGAAGUGCGAUAAGUAAUGUGAAUUGCAGAAUUCCGUGAAUCAUCGAAUCUUUGAACGCAAAUUGCACUCUCUUCGGAGAGUAUGCCUGUUUGAGGGUCAGUAUAAUAAAAAUUGGUUCGUUGCCCUUUUGGGUAACGUUCUGGAGUUUGGGUUAUCUUAACUUUCGGGUUAAGAGGCUUAAAAUUGAUCGUUAUUUGCGCAUUUUAGACGUACAUAAAUUUGAUUUUAUUCGUCUUAAUGCCAAAAUUUUUUAUUAGAUGCGAUCAUAUUAUUUGUGUCUACAAGAUUUCAUGAUUUGACCUCAAAUCAGGUAGGAGUACCCGCUGAACUUAAGCAUAUCAAUAAGCGGAGGAAAGGAAAAUAACAAUGAUUCCCCUAGUAACUGCGAGUGAAGAGGGACAAGCUCAAAUUUAAAUCUAUCAGGUUCAUCUGAUCGAGUUGUAAUUUGAAGAAGCGUUUUCCGCGCUGUUUGGUCAGCUCAAGUCCUAUUGAACGAGGCAUCAUGGAGGGUGAUAAUCCCGUAGGGUUGAUCAUUGCGUUUACGAUACGCUUUCAAAGAGUCAAGUUGUUUGGGAUUGCAGCUUAAAAUGGGAGGUAAAUUUCUCCUAAGGCUAAAUAACGGCGAGAGACCGAUAGCGAACAAGUACCGUGAGGGAAAGAUGAAAAGUACUUUGAAAAGAGAGUUAAAUAGCACGUGAAAUUGUUGAAAGGGAAACGAUUGAAGCCAGUCGUACCUACGGACAAUCAGCUUUUUGGGUAUGAUUACGUGGGACGUGAGGAGUUAAACGCCUUUGCUUUCGCGUAUUUGUGCUCUUGGGUGUACUUGCCCGUGCGGUAGGUUAACAUCAAUUUCGGACGUCAUAAAAUGGUUGGAGGAAUGUAGCUUCGAUCUUGUAUUGAAGUGUUAUAGCCUUCGGCAGAUGUGAUGAUCGGGAUUGAGGAUUGCAACGGAUACCUUUCGGGGCUACCCGUCUGAUCUCUGAUUGUUACUCUGGUGCCGAAAGCUUGCUUACGGUUAUCAAAGUUGAUGGUCAACAGGUUAGAACGUGUUAAAUUCGUUAAGGAUGUUGACGUAAUGGCUUUAAACGACCCGUCUUGAAACACGGACCAAGGAG